GGACUCCUCUGCAGGACACGAGGGGGGCGAAAACUCCACCUGCUCCCUCUCCAGCAGUUACAAUGGACCUGCAGCUUGGUGCAUGAGGUCCAGGGACUCAUCGGUGCGAAGGAAUUCCCAUCAGUCUUCAAGGGGCGAGCCGUGGCUUGACAGAACUUUGUCACCUUGCUGCAGGAAAGGAUAAAGACAAAGAGACACCGUGGAUCUGAUUGAAGAAGGAAUAUUGUUAACCCAUCUGGAAUUACCUGGAAUUCUGAUCAGUUUCAUCUACCGUCAAGACAGG